rnacentral:rRNA from 1 species
UCUGCAGAGAUGCGGAAGUGCCUUCGGGAACUGUGAGACAGGUGCUGCAUGGCUGUCGUCAGCUCGUGUUGUGAAAUGUUGGGUUAAGUCCCGCAACGAGCGCAACCCUUAUCCUUUGUUGCCAGCGGUCCGGCCGGGAACUCAAAGGAGACUGCCAGUGAUAAACUGGAGGAAGGUGGGGAUGACGUCAAGUCAUCAUGGCCCUUACGACCAGGGCUACACACGUGCUACAAUGGCGCAUACAAAGAGAAGCGACCU